GGGGUUGUGGCUCAGCGGUAGAGCACUCGUCUAGCACGUGUGAGGCCCUGGGUUCAAUCCUCAGCACCA
rnacentral:tRNA from 1 species